rnacentral:rRNA from 1 species
UACGAAGGGUGCUAGCGUUGCUCGGAAUGACUGGGCGUAAAGGGCGCGUAGGCGGUUCAUACAGUCAGAUGUGAAAUUCCCGGGCUUAACCUGGGGGGUGCAUUUGAUACGUGUGGGCUUGAGUGAGGAAGAGGGUUGUGGAAUUCCCAGUGUAGAGGUGAAAUUCGUAGAUAUCGGGAAGAACACCGGUGGCGAAGGCGGCAACCUGGUCCUUGACUGACGCUGAGGAGCGAAAGCGUGGGGAGCAAACAGG